rnacentral:lncRNA from 1 species
AGCCUAUGCUGCUGCUUUGCCUAUGAAGCAGCUAUUCUUUAUUCCUUUACUUUCUUAAUAUACUUCCUUUCAUUUUACUCUGUGGACUCGCCCUGAAUUCUCUCUUGCACGAGAUCCAACAACCCUCUCUUGAGGUUUGGACUGGGACCCCUUUCUGAUGGAUGUGCAUGUCAUUUGGUGCCAAAGACCCAGGUCACAGGGAUUCCUUCGGGAGACCAGGCCCCUGUCCUCACUCUCACUCCAUGAAGGGAUCCACCUAUGACCUCGAGUCCUUAGACCAACCAGCCCAAGGAACAUCUCACCAAUCUCAAAUUGGGUCCGGCCCAGAGGGGAAAUGGAAAGAAGUCAGGAUCCAGAACAGUAAGGUCUGCAGAUGUCUGGGCAGUUUGCUGGAACACAACUGGGGUUAUAUCUGCAAAUGCUAGAGCCCAUCUACACACAGCAAAAUAUCUCACAAUGAAUUCCCAUCCACAGCCUCAGCAAUGGGCUGGUGUGUCCCCAGAGAAUGUCAGCUGAUUGGACAGCAGUCUGCAGGAGAAGGUGAAUCCCCUAAUUUGGAAGGAACUGAAGCAUGAAAAGAUGCUGAGAUCACAAUGAAAACAGACAAAGUCUUCUGGGGAUGAAAUGUUAAAAAGGGGAGAUGUGCAAGGAACACAGGAAGAAUAAGUUCAGGAGAUCUGUUAUACAACAUGGGGAUGAUAGUUAAUAACAAUGCAUGGUACAUUUGGGGAUUGCUAAAGGAACACCUUGUAAAGAUUUCCACCCUUCCUCUUGAAUGAUAAGUAUGAAAUGUGACGGAUAUAUUUCUUAGCUUGAUGUAGCUGUUCCACCGUGUGUGCAUAUAUCAAAACAUCACGUUGUAUCCCAUAAAUGUAUAUCGUUUAAAUUUGUUAAUUAAAAUAAUAAAUAAUAAAGAAC